rnacentral:tRNA from 2 species
GCCGGCUUAGCUCAGUGGUAGAGCAGCGGUUUUGUAAACCGUUGGUCGGGAGUUCAAAUCUCUCAGCCGGCACCA